AUGAACGCUGGCGGCGUGCCUAAUACAUGCAAGUCGAGCGAACGGACGAGAAGCUUGCUUUUCUGAUGUUAGCGGCGGACGGGUGAGUAACACGUGGAUAACCUACCUAUAAGACUGGGAUAACUUCGGGAAACCGGAGCUAAUACCGGAUAAUAUUUUGAACCGCAUGGUUCAAAAGUGAAAGACGGUCUUGCUGUCACUUAUAGAUGGAUCCGCGCUGCAUUAGCUAGUUGGUAAGGUAACGGCUUACCAAGGCAACGAUGCAUAGCCGACCUGAGAGGGUGAUCGGCCACACUGGAACUGAGACACGGUCCAGACUCCUACGAGAGGCAGCAGUAGGGAAUCUUCCGCAAUGGGCGAAAGCCUGACGGAGCAACGCCGCGUGAGUGAUGAAGGUCUUCGGAUCGUAAAACUCUGUUAUUAGGGAAGAACAUAUGUGUAAGUAACUGUGCACAUCUUGACGGUACCUAAUCAGAAAGCCACGGCUAACUACGUG
rnacentral:rRNA from 1 species